UCCUAGUUAGUACAACGGUUAGUAUAUGUCGCUCUCACGUGUCACAACAACGUAGUGCGCCGACAAGACCCGGGUUCGACUCCCGGAUUGGGAA
rnacentral:tRNA from 1 species